AACAAACGCUGGCGGCGUGCCUAAUACAUGCAAGUCGAACGGGGUAGCAAUACCUAGUGGCGCACGGGUGAGGAACGCGUGGAUAAUCUGCCUUAGAGUGGGGGAUAACUAGUCGAAAGAUUAGCUAAUACCGCAUAAGACCACAGGAGCUGCGGCUCUAGGGGUCAACGGUUUUUCGCUCUAAGAUGAGUCGGGGUAAGAUUAGCUAGUUGGUGAGGUAACGGCUCACCAAGGCGACGAUCUUUAACUGGUCUGAGAGGAUGAUCAGUCACACUGGAACUGAGACACGGUCCAGACUCCUACGGGAGGCAGCAGUAGGGAAUAUUGCACAAUGGAGGAAACUCUGAUGCAGCGACGCCGCGUGAGUGAUGAAGGCCUUCGGGUCGUAAAGCUCUGUCGCAGGGGAAUAACAAUGAAUGUACCCUGUAAGAAAGGAUCGGCUAACUUCGUGCCAGCCGCCGCGGUAAAAC
rnacentral:rRNA from 1 species